AUCAGCUGGGGAGAUAGGGCAAUUAUUUUCAGCACAUUAUCCGACCAUUUGGCAUUGUAGCGAUUAAAAUAAGAUCUUCAUACCUUCCAGGAAGUCACGCCGGGCAUCCACUUCAAGCCGGGCAUGUCGGAAGAGCAGUCGACCAGCUCCAAUGCUCCUUAUGGGACAAGCGAGUGAGUGCCGCUAUGACAGCUUCAUCCUCGAUGGGGUUGAGGGAACAGGUGGAGUAGACCAUCCUGCCACCCACGGCCAGCUGUUCGACGCCACGCACAGCGAUACGCAUCUGGAGACUUGUGAGGGGAAACCAACUUUUACAAUUAGCGCCGCAAGAGCACUCGCCAUAGCCAUUAAAAAGCGAUUUGAUUAACCACAACAACAAAAAACUGUUUGAUUACUUAAGAGGGCGCCUAAACCCAUAAUCGCUGCCUCCGCUCACCCAUGAAGGUGCAGGCUGUUGCUAGUCGUCCACUUCUUCCACACAUCUAUGUUCUUCCUCAGGGUGCCGUCCCCGCUGCGUGAAAACAGAGCAACUGUCUUGAUAAACGGCCAACUGCUCUAUUCCCUUCCAUAUGAGGACAAAAAGAUGCCCGUUUCUUCAGACCUGCAGGGCACGUCGCACAAGACGCGGUCAUAGAAGAGGAUGUCCUUCUUUCCGUCCGCGCCUUGGAUCUGCAGCAUGGGGAUGCAGGAGGCGUCAUGGUUGACCACCAUGAUGCAGGGGCUAUUGAGACGCUUGGCCUGAUGCACCAGCAGGUAGCAGCGCUUGUUGUCCACGUCGUUGGCGAUGACGAAGCCCUCUGGAACGUAUCGAUACAGUCACGCCUUGACUUGUGAGUUUAAUUCGUUACGUGAGCACGCAAAACACUUGUAUUGGUUUGUACCUGGAAAGGGCACGUCCAUGUCAGAAUGAAGCAUUUCAAUCAGCUGAGCUGUCUUUGAGCCAGGAGCUGCACACAGGUCCAAAAUCUACAC